UAGACCCGAAACCAAGUGACCUACCCAUGACCAGGUUGAAGGUGUGGUGAAACACACUGGAGGACCGAACCCAUGUAUGUUGAAAAAUGCUGGGAUGAGUUGUGGGUAGCGGUAAAAUUCCAAACGAACUUGGAGAUAGCUGGUUCUCUCCGAAAUAGCUUUAGGGUUAGCCUCGGAGGAUGGAUCAUGGAGGUAGAGCACUGUUUGAACUAGGGGCCCGUCAAGGG
rnacentral:rRNA from 1 species